ACUGCGGCCAGAAGACUCCAAGCACUCCUCUGCUGCAUUCCGCUGGCGACUGCCACUCCGAACUUCCAGCGCUUCACUCGGCCACAUGUUGCACACACUGUGAGAAUGAAUUUAAUUAAGGCAAAUCCAUCCCACAGCAAAAGCCAAGGGACCAAUGGAGCGCCACACAACCCGACCAGACACCAGCCAGACCCCGAUCCGGAUCUUCACCAGCGCAGCCAGCCGAAUGCGUCUAGUCCAAAGUCUAGUCUUGGUCAACCGUGGGACCAGAUCGCGGCCAGAUCGAUGAAGCAAGUUGCUUCG
ensembl:ncRNA lncRNA:CR46057 long non-coding RNA:CR46057